rnacentral:rRNA from 1 species
CACGGGGGGAGCAAGCGUUGUUCGGAAUCACUGGGCGUAAAGGGCGUGUAGGCGGUCAAGUAAGUGGAAUGUGAAAGCCCCCGGCUUACCCGGGGAUCUGCACCCCAAACUGCUUGGCUUGAGUACGGGAGAGGAUAGGGGAAUUCCUGGUGUAGCGGUGAAAUGCGUAGAUAUCAGGAGGAACACCGGUGGCGAAGGCGCCUAUCUGGCCCGAUACUGACGCUGAGGCGCGAAAGCUAGGGGAGCAAACGGG